AGCUCGGCGGGAUAUUAUCGAAUCACACAACGACAUUAUUCCCGGCCCGUGGGUGUAGCGUUCGUGUCGUUAGGUCUCGAGAUUUCGUGACGCGUCUUUUGAAAUACCUUCUGUGUUUUAUAAAACGCGUAAAACCUCUAAACCGACUCCGGUUGAGUUAUCGAAUCAUUGUGUUACGAUAACGACUGCCGACAGACUGUCACUCCGACAAGGCUUCC